GAGUAAUGUCUGGGAAACUGCCUGAUGGAGGGGGAUAACUACUGGAAACGGUGGCUAAUACCGCAUAACGUCGCAAGACCAAAGAGGGGGACCUUCGGGCCUCUUGCCAUCAGAUGUGCCCAGAUGGGAUUAGCUUGUUGGUGAGGUAACGGCUCACCAAGGCGACGAUCCCUAGCUGGUCUGAGAGGAUGACCAGCCACACUGGAACUGAGACACGGUCCAGACUCCUACGGGAGGCAGCAGUGGGGAAUAUUGCACAAUGGGCGCAAGCCUGAUGCAGCCAUGCCGCGUGUAUGAAGAAGGCCUUCGGGUUGUAAAGUACUUUCAGCGGGGAGGAAGGUGUUGUGGUUAAUAACCACAGCAAUUGACGUUACUCGCAGAAGAAGCACCGGCUAACUCCGUGCCAGCAGCCGCGGUAAUACGGAGGGUGCAAGCGUUAAUCGGAAUUACUGGGCGUAAAGCGCACGCAGGCGGUCUGUCAAGUCGGAUGUGAAAUCCCCGGGCUCAACCUGGGAACUGCAUUCGAAACUGGCAGGCUUGAGUCUUGUAGAGGGGGGUAGAAUUCCAGGUGUAGCGGUGAAAUGCGUAGAGAUCUGGAGGAAUACCGGUGGCGAAGGCGGCCCCCUGGACAAAGACUGACGCUCAGGUGCGAAAGCGUGGGGAGCAAACAGGAUUAGAUACCCUGGUAGUCCACGCCGUAAACGAUGUCUACUUGGAGGUUGUGCCCUUGAGGCGUGGCUUCCGGAGCUAACGCGUUAAGUAGACCGCCUGGGGAGUACGGCCGCAAGGUUAAAACUCAAAUGAAUUGACGGGGGCCCGCACAAGCGGUGGAGCAUGUGGUUUAAUUCGAUGCAACGCGAAGAACCUUACCUGGUCUUGACAUCCACGGAAGUUUUCAGAGAUGAGAAUGUGCCUUCGGGAACCGUGAGACAGGUGCUGCAUGGCUGUCGUCAGCUCGUGUUGUGAAAUGUUGGGUUAAGUCCCGCAACGAGCGCAACCCUUAUCCUUUGUUGCCAGCGGUCCGGCCGGGAACUCAAAGGAGACUGCCAGUGAUAAACUGGAGGAAGGUGGGGAUGACGUCAAGUCAUCAUGGCCCUUACGACCAGGGCUACACACGUGCUACAAUGGCGCAUACAAAGAGAAGCGACCUCGCGAGAGCAAGCGGACCUCAUAAAGUGCGUCGUAGUCCGGAUUGGAGUCUGCAACUCGACUCCAUGAAGUCGGAAUCGCUAGUAAUCGUGGAUCAGAAUGCCACGGUGAAUACGUUCCCGGGCCUUGUACACACCGCCCGUCACACCAUGGGAGUGGGUUGCAAAAGAAGUAGGUAGCUUAACCUUCGGGAGGGCGCUUACCACUUUGUGAUUCAUGACUGGGGUGAAGUCGUAACAAGGUAACCGUAGGGGAACCUGCGGUUGGA
rnacentral:rRNA from 1 species